rnacentral:lncRNA from 1 species
UGUCUUUGCUUAAACAGAUUUGUAAAGAAGCGGCUGAGAAGUUGCCACACACUUCAAGCUAAGUCUUCCACAGCAAUGAGCAACAAACAAAGCGUGGGGGUUUUAAUAGUUAAAUAGAUGGUUCCAAUAAAAGUCACUUUCCUCCAGUCCUGUAUUCUUUGGGCAGACAAUCGUGAGUCUGCGGCGGGAUCUCCUCCAAAGGCUCGCGGUCAGUGAUUGAUGGUCGGGACACAGGGCCGACAUGAUGCUAGCUUACGACCGUGGUCCCCUCGGUGGCCGGCCUUCCUUUAUCACCGCCCGGGGUCUGAAUGGGCAGGGGCGUAAAUCGCAGGGGUGCAGGGAGGACACGGCACCCUCUCUCCUGACAGCCAUUCACAGAAUAUUUGGAACAAACGAUUGACAGAUACAGAGAAGCUCAGACUAGAGCCGCUGCUCCUCCACGUAUACCAACGAAGGAGUUAGCACCAGAGCUGGAGUCAGUGGUACAGAACUUGGUCAGUCUGAGUACUCAGGGAAAGGAACACAGUUUGGAACUCUUUGCCACUGGAGCUAAAAUCCCAAAUGGACCUGAGACUUUUCUCCCAGAAGCUGAAGCUGUGGCUAAAGAACAAACAAAAGUGUGAGCACUGAGCUGUAUGGAUGGACUUGGGAUGUGAAGUGGUCAGAUAUGUCUCUCUUCUUUCUUUUUAUUGUUGUAUUGUUCGAUGCUUUUUACUGAUUUUCUGUCUUUCUAUUCUUUUAUAUACCUUAGAAAGCCUAACCAGGGACAGCAGCUGCAAAUUAUCAUAUGGCUAGACGCCUUAGAUUCAUAACAUCGGCCACCUAGUUGGCAAUGUUUUCUUGUACUGUCCUUGUCAAAUAAACAAAUAAAG